GAUGAACGCUGGCGGCGUGCCUAAUACAUGCAAGUCGGACGGAUGUAGCAAUACAUUAGUGGCGAACGGGUGAGUAACACGUAGGUGACCUGCCCUAAAGAGGGGAAUACCACUUCGAAAGGAGUGACAAAACCGCAUAAACUUAUAGAGAUCAGAAGGCUAUAAGGAAAAGAGCGAUCUACUUUAGGAGGGGCCUGCGGCCCAUCAGCUAGUUGGUAGAGGUAACGGCCUACCAAGGCGAAGACGGGUAGGGGACCUGAGAGGGUGAUCCCCCACAAUGGAACUGAAACACGGUCCAUACACCUGCGGGUGGCAGCAGUAGGGAAUAUUGCUUAAUGGGCGAAAGCCUGAAGCAGCAACGCCGCGUGGACGAAGAAGGGCCUUCGGGUUGUAAAGUUCUUUUAUAUGGGAUGAGGAAGGACAGUACCAUAUGAAUAAAGUCUCGGCUAACUACGUG
rnacentral:rRNA from 1 species